UGGGGAAUUUUGGACAAUGGGCGAAAGCCUGAUCCAGCAAUGCCGCGUGUGUGAAGAAGGCCUUCGGGUUGUAAAGCACUUUUGUCCGGAAAGAAAUCCUUGGCUCUAAUACAGUCGGGGGAUGACGGUACCGGAAGAAUAAGCACCGGCUAACUACGUGCCAGCAGCCGCGGUAAUACGUAGGGUGCAAGCGUUAAUCGGAAUUACUGGGCGUAAAGCGUGCGCAGGCGGUUUGCUAAGACCGAUGUGAAAUCCCCGGGCUCAACCUGGGAACUGCAUUGGUGACUGGCAGGCUAGAGUAUGGCAGAGGGGGGUAGAAUUCCACGUGUAGCAGUGAAAUGCGUAGAGAUGUGGAGGAAUACCGAUGGCGAAGGCAGCCCCCUGGGCUAAUACUGACGCUCAUGCACGAAAGCGUGGGGAGCAAACAGGAUUAGAUACCCUGGUAGUCCACGCCCUAAACGAUGUCAACUAGUUGUUGGGGAUUCAUUUCCUUAGUAACGUAGCUAACGCGUGAAGUUGACCGCCUGGGGAGUACGGUCGCAAGAUUAAAACUUAAAU
rnacentral:rRNA from 1 species